rnacentral:rRNA from 1 species
AUUGAACGCUGGCGGCAUGCCUUACACAUGCAAGUCGAACGGCAGCACGGGAGCAAUCCUGGUGGCGAGUGGCGAACGGGUGAGUAAUACAUCGGAACGUGCCCAAUCGUGGGGGAUAACGCAGCGAAAGCUGUGCUAAUACCGCAUACGAUCUACGGAUGAAAGCAGGGGAUCGCAAGACCUUGCGCGAAUGGAGCGGCCGAUGGCAGAUUAGGUAGUUGGUGAGGUAAAGGCUCACCAAGCCGUCGAUCUGUAGCUGGUCUGAGAGGACGACCAGCCACACUGGGACUGAGACACGGCCCAGACUCCUACGGGAGGCAGCAGUGGGGAAUUUUGGACAAUGGGCGAAAGCCUGAUCCAGCCAUGCCGCGUGCAGGAUGAAGGCCUUCGGGUUGUAAACUGCUUUUGUACGGAACUAAACGGCCUUUUCUAAUAAAGAGGGCUAAUGACGGUACCGUAAGAA